UACGGAGGGUGCAAGCGUUAUCCGGAUUCACUGGGUUUAAAGGGUGCGUAGGUGGGUUGGUAAGUCAGUGGUGAAAUCUCCAGGCUUAACUUGGAAACUGCCAUUGAUACUAUCAAUCUUGAAUACCGUGGAGGUCAGCGGAAUAUGUCAUGUAGCGGUGAAAUGCUUAGAGAAUGACAUAGAACACCAAUGCGAAGGCAGCUGGCUACGGC
rnacentral:rRNA from 1 species